ACCCAAUAGAUACCCCGGUAGUCCACGCCCUAAACGAUGUCAACUGGUUGUUGGGGAAGGUAACUUCCUUAGUAACGAAAGCUAAACGCGUGAAAGUUGACCGCCUGGGGAGUACGGCCGCAAGGUUAAAACUCAAAGGAAUUGACGGGGACCCGCACAAGCGGUGGAUGAUGUGGAUUAAUUCGAUGCAAACGCGAAGAACCUUACCUACCCUUGACAUGUAGCGAACCCUGCUGAGAGGCGGGGGUGCCCGAAAGGGAGCGCUAACACAGGUGCUGCAUGGCUGUCGUCAGCUCGUGUCGUGAGAUGUUGGGUUAAGUCCCGCAACGAGCGCAACCCUUGUCACUAGUUGCUACGAAAGGGCACUCUAGUGAGACUGCCGGUGACAAACCGGAGGAAGGUGGGGAUGACGUCAAGUCCUCAUGGCCCUUAUGGGUAGGGCUUCACACGUCAUACAAUGGCGCAUACAGAGGGUUGCCAACCCGCGAGGGGGAGCCAAUCCCAGAAAGUGCGUCGUAGUCCGGAUUGUUCUCUGCAACUCGAGAGCAUGAA
rnacentral:rRNA from 1 species